UACGAAGGGGGCAAGCGUUGUUCGGAAUUACUGGGCGUAAAGCGCGCGUAGGCGGUUUGUCGCGUCUGCCGUGAAAGUCCGGGGCUCAACUCCGGAUCUGCGGUGGGUACGGGCAGACUAGAGUGAUGUAGGGGAGACUGGAAUUCCUGGUGUAGCGGUGAAAUGCGCAGAUAUCAGGAGGAACACCGAUGGCGAAGGCAGGUCUCUGGGCAUUAACUGACGCUGAGGAGCGAAAGCAUGGGGAGCGAACAGG
rnacentral:rRNA from 1 species